rnacentral:rRNA from 1 species
AGUGAACGCUGGCGGCAGGCCUAAUACAUGCAAGUCGAACGGCAGCACAGCAGAGCUUGCUCUGUGGGUGGCGAGUGGCGGACGGGUGAGGAAUACAUGGGAAUCUGCCCAGUCGUGGGGGAUAACGUAGGGAAACUUACGCUAAUACCGCAUGCGCCCUUCGGGGGAAAGCCGGGGACCGUAAGGCCUGGCGCGAUCGGAUGAGCCCAUGUCGGAUUAGCUAGUUGGCGGGGUAAAGGCCCACCAAGGCGACGAUCCGUAGCUGGUCUGAGAGGAUGAUCAGCCACACUGGAACUGAGACACGGUCCAGACUCCUACGGGAGGCAGCAGUAGGGAAUAUUGGACAAUGGGCGCAAGCCUGAUCCAGCCAUGCCGCGUGAGUGAAGAAGGCCCUCGGGUUGUAAAGCUCUUUUGUCCGGAAAGAAAAGCAUCCGGUUAAUACCUGGGUGUCCUGACGGUACCGGAAGAAUAAGCACCGGCUAACUUCGUGCCAGCCGCCGCGGUAAGAC